UUAUUUUUCUUAUAUCUCAUGGUUCCGUUCAGUUUUGGACUCAUUACCUAUGUUUACCAUUCACUUAUAGAUACCCCGACUAGUUCUAAUUUGCCCAGUGGUGUAUGGUGAAUGUGGGUAUGACCUAUAGUACCAGACUCCACCUUAUAAGGUAAAUGGUCUGAUUACAAUUUGCAUCUUGGACGCUGUUGAGCAUUCUUCAAAUCUACUAAGCACCGUUUAUCGAAGCUCCCGAAGAAGCGACGACGUCGCGAAACAUGUCGAGCUGAACCCCAUUUUAAUCAGAACUCAUCCUGUACCAUCUUUCGAAGUUACAACGCCACCCAGCGCCUAUAGUGUAUUCUAUACAUCCAGCCCUGUGGCUAAUAGCGGUGUCUUUAGAAAGUGAUAGGAUUUGAGCUCUUCUGUGUAUUCUAUUGUUCACUUUUUUUUUCUCUUUUCUUAUUAUUUCGAGCAAUUGUCCUGUAUAUCUAUGUUUUGUAUUGUCUAAAUUAAAAUAUUUAUAUUCUUAAA